rnacentral:rRNA from 1 species
CGACAUUUCGAACGCACAUUGCGGUCCUCGGAUACUGUUCCCGGACCACUCCUGGCUGAGGGUCGUAU